GUUUGGCCUGAUUUGAGGAGCUUAAUAAAUGUGCAUUCACCAGACUGCACUUGAGUUUUCAAAUGGCUGAGUUUGAAAGUAAAGGAUGGUUGAAAAACUUAACAAUGAAAGGUGGUGGUUGUUCUUAUUUGAUACCAGAAGAAAAAAUGCAUGCAAUACUGAAUCCAGUGAGCUAAUGGGAAGUUUGCAGAAGGGAAAAAAAGGAGUGGAAAUGUUUAACACAACACGUUUGCACAGGCUAUCCUGUGCCGGGAGCGCCCCCUCUCUGCCUCUGGCUGAUGCAUCUCUCAAGGCUCCAGUGUAAAGAUUCCCCUGAUCUCCUGCCCCUGUUCUGGAGAAGGAGAUGCCUCUCCAAGGUGCCUCUGCAGUAACACUCUCACCCGUGACUACCAUACUCUCUUCACUUGUCUGUCCCUCCCAAACCCACAGCUACCCAACCUCUGCUCCUGGAGGGGAAGGCCGAGUCUAAGUGCCCAAAGUCAUGACGGUAAGAAAGGCAGAGAACAACGAACACUUCAUAAAAUAAUAAGGUGGCCCACUUCUACCCCAAGGCAAGACAAGCGGCCCUCCACAUCCCUGGCUUCCGUUCUGAGGACUCAACUGAUCCAGAUGGAAAAUAUUUAAAAAUC